GAUUCUGGCUCGAGACGAACGCUGGCGGCAUGCCUAACACAUGCAAGUCGAACAGGGGUAGCAAUACCCUAGUGGCGAACGGGUGAGUAACACAUAAGCAAUCUGCCCUUCACAGGGGGAUAACAGCGGGAAACUGCUGCUAAUACCGCAUAAGACCACGGUACCGCAUGGUACAGGGGUAAAAACGAAUCAGUGGUGAAGGAUGAGCUUAUGUCCCAUUAGCUAGUUGGUGAGAUAACAGCCCACCAAGGCGACGAUGGGUAGCCGACCUGAGAGGGUGAUCGGCCACACUGGAACUGAGACACGGUCCAGACUCCUACGGGAGGCAGCAGUGGGGAAUAUUGGGCAAUGGAAGGAAACUCUUACCCAGCAAUGCCGCGUGAGUGAAGAAGGUCUUCGGAUUGUAAAGCUCUUUGACUGGGGACGAAGAAAGUGACGGUACCCAAAGAACAAGCCCCGGCUAACUACGUGCCAGCCGCCGC
rnacentral:rRNA from 1 species